AGGUGUUGUUUGGGAAGGAAAAGCCGGGCUAAAUUAGCCACGUCGCGACAAAGUUGGCUAUUUCAGCCACGUCCCGACAAAAAUGCAUUUCACGGGACAAGCCUCAGAUUGAACCCAACACACCCUUCGCAAAGCAGAAGAGAAGAAGAACGGAGCUAUCUGACGGCAUCUGAGCGACCUUGGCAGAGGAAAUCGCCACCGGAGUACGCAUCCGCGGCGGCAAACAACAACGAAGCCUCUCAAACUCAAACCGAUCUGCAGGUUUCGCAUCAACGAAGACGCGAUGAAUCCCUGGGAUGGAAGCAACCAUGAUGAAAUAACUGAAAUGCUUAAUCAAAUGGCGGUCCAGGUGCAACAAGAACAGAACUGCACAUUUCUACAAGCAUGCCAGUUGGCGAUAGAAUGGUACAAAAAAC